GCUGCUCUGAUCUCACCGGCCGUUCAGAUCGCCUAUCAAUGGGAGCGUGCCGUGCUCCUCCGGUUUGGCAAACUCCGAGGGAUGAAACAGCCAGGACUGUUUCUGAUCCUUCCCGUUGUUGACAAAGUGGCGCAAUUCGUUGACCAGAGAAUCCGAGUUUCCGACUUCAGUGCAGAAACCACGUUGACUGCUGAUACGGUUCCAGUCAACGUCGAUGCGAUUGCUUUCUGGAUGGU
rnacentral:rRNA from 1 species